rnacentral:lncRNA from 1 species
UGUAAUCUUUAACCCUUCAAAACGUAAUUAAACUCUUUAAAACUAUCAGUUUCACUUAACACUAAAGAGAAACAGAGCAGGCUACCAAACCAAUUGAGGUUUGAACGUUACUCAUCAGAUAAACUACUUUUGCAUAUGUCAAUAAAACCACAGCUGAUCAAACUAUAAAGUCCCUUUUGGGGAAUGGAAUGGUAAGUUCCAGUAUCAACAUAAGUUAAUGAUGUAACUUUUAUUGAAGAGGGGACUCUCUUGGGUCCGAUACUGAACCAUGGAGUUUCCAAGUUUAAAGAGGGUUUGUGUUUUUUUUUUUGGGCAAGGGGCAAUAAGACAGAUUACAAAGGUCCCUCAUUUCCUUCAAUAGUCUAUCAUUCUUCCUCUCAGUAUAGCCUCCGCCUUGCGCACUUCUUUCACCGGUCCAAUCACAAAUAUCUGCAUCAAACCCAUUUCCACAAAACACUACCUUAUUACAUCUUUGGGUUUCCACCAAUCUCUACUUUAUAGCUUAAACAUUGGACUAACCUUGUCAGGUGGACCCUUUGCCCCUCCAAUUAGAAUUUCCGCGCUGCUAGACGGAAAAAAAAAUCACUCGUAUUAUAUAACGAGCAGAUAUCAAAUGUCUUGUUAGCACGAGUACAACAUGAAAGAAAUGGUUUUUACUUGCAAGCUUCCUUAAUGGCGAGAAUUGAUGAUCCUUUCCUUCCAAUCACACGUCCCAUCUUUCCUGGUGGGACAUGAAGCACUGACAGGAUCUCUUCUUCGAGACAUUCAUCUUCUGACUUCAGGUUAUCUGCAAAACUUAAAAGUCCAACUACAUUAAGUAAACAAAUUGAAGCUAACAUCACUAGUCUAUUUAUCUUUCUGUCUAUAGCAUAUAUAAUCUUCAUGAGGAAACUGAGUGACCACUGACCACACAGAUUAUAUUAAAAAAAGGACUUUUAUAUAUCUUUACUGACUGCUGAGAGUAACAUAGUUACGUACUGAACUACAUUCUUAAUGUACAAACAAACCUGGAAUUGGAGGAACAGCUGGCCAAUCAGCAAAAUCAGCAUCGUUCAUGCAGCAGAGACACCGACAGUACAACGCACCACGAACAGCUAGAUGCCAUAGUGACCGCUGAUUUAGUUUUCCCAUCAUUUUGUGAUAGAGAUACAGAAGGAAGCGGACAUCAUCGGCAGCUGCACGGAUCAUGAGCUCUGUCAUUGGCCUGUAUGUCCAAAACUUUGGGUCCUAAAUUUGAAAGAUUUAAAGAAACACAAACAACUCAUUAUCUAUUCUGGAAGCAUAAUUUCGGUUUUAAACACUAGAAAAUAUAUAGUAGAAAUGUAAUGAACCUGGCGCAUGAGCACACGGACUUCUUCUUUCUCUUCAUAGGAUAUGCCUAAACCGAAUAAACAAGAGUAAAGUGAUUGAUUCACCACCACAUGACAGGUAAAAUGUCAAUAUCACUAUUUCAAGGUGCAAGAUAUGAACCAGAACCAGAAGUUCCAAAAAGCAGGCUCUAUAGAUAAGGUCGAACUUGCAUAAACAUUUGCUCAGCUGAAAUCAGUAUAUUCACUCCCAGAACAAGAUGCCGCGAGGAUUAAAUAUUUAAGGUAAAUCAUAAAUAAAAACUAACAUGAUAAUCUAAAAUGUACCGCAGUAACGUGGAUCAGCAAGGAGUGAAACAAACGAUAUGUAAUCAUCUAGAGGUCUUCUCCUGCCUUCUUGCUCUUCUAUCAGAGAAUAAGCAAUCUGUGAACCAGAAAAUAGUAUAAGAAGACCAGGACUAAGUUUUCUUAGUCAGGAAAUAGUCUAAGGCAAGAGAUUUUUUCGUGUCACAUAGAAAACGUACCUGAGUGUCCACAACAUUGUGCAACCUUAUCCCAAACUGAAAGUAUAAGGCCUAUAGUACAAAAAAUAAUCAAAGUAAUGUUGUCAUGAAUUAUAAAUUAUGUCAUGAACACAAUGACAAAUAAAUAAAGAAAGUUCAGACACCUCACUGUCGCGUUUGCAGUCAUGAAUAACUUUUGUGAUGUAAUUGGACUCGAGUGCAGGCUUACAAGCUUUCAUAAGCACCUCUCCCCCUUCGAUGACAUCAACCAAGUAUAUUGCAUUAGAGAAUGCAAUCUGCCAAGACAAGAUCUUUAGUAAGAGUUACAAAUAUCAAACCAUCAUGGAGCAAAUAAUCUAAAAUAUAACGUUCUAUUUAAAAUUAAAGCACACACAAACAAAGGUCAUACCUGCAUGAUACAAAGUUUUCCAUGUCGACAGAGGUCAACGCCUUCACAGUCAAAACCAAUGACCAAUUUCUUUUCAGGAGAAGGGUUUAGGAAAUCAGCAGGAAGUUGCAAAGGAUCCGUCACUAUGUGAAUCGGAACUUCUGGCUCAUUAGCUUCUUGUGUCAGUGACUUUCCCCCUACAGCGUAAAACUCAGACAUGAGACAAAAGGUUUAUGAAAAUAUCCACUACUUGCAAAACCAAAAUACAGACAAAUUGCAGAAAGAAAGUAACACAAUUAACAUGACAUAGAAACUGUAAUGAUCUAAUCCAACUCAUGCAUUCAUCUUUCUGCUUGAUCUUGCUACUACACAGUCCAUAGAUUAAAAAAUGCAAAACACUAACAAAAUGCAGGGAAAGAAGAGAAUGUAAACUAAUUAACUAAUAUGUCUAGAUUAGUAUACAAUCUAAGCUUCACUUAGGGAAUAGAGAUACAAUAAUGAUCUAUCCAAAUAAUGCAUUCAUCUUCGACUAUUCAACAGUUCCAUAAGACAUUUUAGGUUAAACCAAAACCUAAGCUGCAAAUAGAAAUAUUGUAGAUGUUCUAAAUCCAACUCAUACAAACUACAUUCCACAUUUCUCAGAUCAAAUAUGCAAAAUGAAAAAUCGCUCAUACGAUGCAACACAAGAAAGCAAUCUCGAGCCUAAACUCUCACAGAAACGAAAAUAGACGGUUAAAUUCACAUUUCGAUCAGAAACUAAGUAACGUUAAACAUCGAAAUCGUUUAAUUCACAAUCAAUUGAUCAAAAGGAGCAAAAACACCAAAUUAUUUAGGGGGAAACUGAGGGAUAAAGCAGAUCGAACACAGUGAAAUCAUGAACAGCGAUCGCAAUGGAACGAACGAAGAUAAUUACAAGUAGCGAAGCUUGGUGAAACGAUGAAAGAGCAAAUUGAGGAAGAGAGAAGCAAAUUGAAGAAGAAGAAGAAGAAGGGACCUGGUUCUGGAGGAAUCGGGACGUGAGCUCGCUGAGUUGGAGAAGACGACGCCAUUUCGAUCAAAGCGUCGAAGCAGCAGCGCUCUCACAAAACUUUUUUGAGGGGACUGUCCAGAUUCAUUAACGGAUGGGUUCCCUAACUGAAUCGGGUUUAGUAAAAAGAAGUGAUGGUAUUUGGGCUUGUGCUUGGUAUCUAGGCCCAUUCAAAACUCAUUGUUCAUAUCUAAAUAAUAAAAUUAAAAAGUUUAGAGAGAAUAUAAUUCAUUGAUAUUUGUUAUAGUGUUAUGAUUUAACUUGCAGUAUACAGCGAGAAAAUGUUUGUAUAUUAUGAGUAGUUGGGGUUACACAUACAGAAAAUUUACGAAAGCAUGAGGUUUGGUUCCUAUCGUUAUCAAAUAUUUUAAAUAAUUGAUUUAAAGGUUGCUAAAAUAUUUAGAAGUUUACAACUAAUGUGAGUAUAUAUAGAAUUUGAUGAUGAUUCUUUAAUUGUCCUUUACAUGAAAUUUUAAGCAGGUGGUUUUUAACCUGCUAAUUUGUGGUUUACCGCAGUAAUAUGUUUUUAUCUAUAUAUAUACAACAAUGUUAAAAUUUUACAUUUAUAUCGUUAUUUAAAAUAUAAGAUUUAAUUUGUAUGUUUUUAGAUUUAACAUGUAGCAUAUAGAGAAUUUUAUUAGUUAUUCCACUUUUUAAACUAAAAAAAUUGAGAGUGCCAUUUAUUUACUAGUAUUUUAUGGAGUGUCAUAUUAGUAUAUAUGGUAUAGAUCCAAAAGACAAAAAUAUCCUCGAAGAACAAAAACAUAAAAAGCUGACUUGAGAUUGGACAUUUUGGCAGCUGUAACAUUAAUUAUGGACAUUAAUCAAUAGACAAGUUUUUUGUCCACACUCGAUUAUGGACAAUUUUCUUUUCUAUUCAUCUAACAUAUGUAUUGUGAACAAGUUAGUUUAUGAAAAACUAGAUUUACGUAUGAUGGACAACAAAUUAGGAAACAAAAAUGGACAUAUUACAGACAUCAGAUAUAGUUCACCGGAUCUAGUCCACCUACACACAAAUGUGUGAUCCAAAGUGUACACCUAGAUAGAUCAUUGAUGGAUAUCUUCCAUAGAUGUGUCACUUGUUUCAUCUUCUACUCAAUUAUUUAUGGUUUGAAGAGAUCUGUAGGAUAGACAAGUUUGGUCUACCGAUUCCGGUCCACUAGAUUUGGUCCAUCGGAUCUCGUCUGUCGGAACAGGUUUGCUGGAUCUGGUCCCCAGGAAUUGGUCCAUCGAAACUAGUCCAUCAUAUUUCGUCAAUCGGCACAGGUCCGCCAGAAUUGGUUAUGCUAUGGAACUAGUUAUGGUCCAUCAAAACUGGUCUGUCGGAUCUUGUCCGUCGAGACUGGUUAUGGUCCGCCAGAACUGGUUCGCCGGAAAUGAUCCGCCAGAAUUGUAGAGAGAUUUGUUGUUGAAGAAAGUAAGAGAAGAUGGAAGAAGAAUAUAGAGAAAAAGAUGAGAAAUGAAAGAAAAGAGAGAAAGUUUUAGUUAAGGAUAAAAUUGUGAGUUAAAAGUGGGUCCUAUGGCAUUGUAGAGAAGAUUGGAUUGAAAGUCGCAUUUCUUAAAAAACAUUGUUCAUGGCAGAGAAUAUAAUUUUCUCUAUAUGUAAUUUAGUAAUUUUUUUUUUGUCAACCACGUACUAUAUUAACUCAAACGAGCCAAUUCGACGGAACAUUGUUUACAAACUUAAUAGCUUGCGGACUGACACGAGCUUUUCGUGCCAAAAAGUCCGCUUUUACAUUUGCAUUUCUUGAAAUGAAAGACAGAGAAAAGGAAUCGAAUUCUUCCCUGUCGACUUGGAUGUCCUCCAAAUAAGUCAAGAAGGCCGGCCAUUCAUUAGGAGAAGACACCAUCUUCACCAAAUCAGAACAGUCAGUGUAGAACUUGACAACACGACAAUCAUGUCCCAGCAUACAUCUCAUCACCCAAACGAGUGCUUCGAUCUCUGCAUGGAGUGGAGAAAGACUUCUUCUGGUGGUUUGGGCCCCCAUAAAAGGUGGGGCAUUUCCUGGUCGCAGACAAUACCAACCUAUUCCUGCUUGUUGGUCCGUAGCCUUCCAUGAUCAAUCUAAGUAGCAACAAUAUCCUCCCACUGAGGGUUGAAUUUCUCUUGCUAAAGAAUUAGACCUCUCUGGUCGGCUAUCAGGAAGUGUAUCCCUGGCGGAUUCCUCGACCUGCGCCUGGCUCCAUGCCAUAGCCUCAUCUUUUGCUACUCUAACAACCUCUAACGGACUAGCGUCUUGAUUGUCAAAAACCUUUGCAUUUCUAGCUUUCCAUAUGUACCAUAAGAUCCAAGGAUAACUAUCCUCCUCACCCCCUUCCUCGUUAAAUCCCAAUAGAUAAGCCAUAUUUGCAUACACAGAGUCCGAGGGGAACAAAUUCGGACCCAUAGGUAUAUUAGCUAAAGCCCACGAUUGUCGAACUGGAGGACACUCAAACAUAGCGUGAUUCACCGUCUCAAUUAAAUUAUCACAUCGGACACAAGUGUGAUCAAUAUCAAUCCCCUUUCUUCGUAGAUUAAAAGAUACCGAUAUACACCCUAAUAACACCUGCCACAUAAAAUGUCGUAUUUUAGGUGGACAUCGUACCUUCCAGACCUUUGUAAACAAUGGCGAAAUAUCUGGACCACCAACUACUUUGUCGUUCAAAGAAUCCACCAAUCUUGCUGUAUGAUAUCCCGAUUUAACCGUAUACCUCCCAGUCUUUGUAAAAUGCCAUCCUAGUGAAUCUACCCCUGGGUUGCUCCCUACCGGGAUUGUAUUAAUUAUAGAUACCUCAGACGGGUCAAAAUGUACUGCCAGUAAAUCCUGACGCCACGAAUUACUUUGUCGAUUAAUCAAUUGUGUUAACUGAAGAGAUGGGUCCAAAAUUGGCCCCUUACUCAAAGCUGGUCUCGGGAAUUGAGCCGGAAUCCAAGGAUCUGUCCAUAUUGAAAUAGACUCACCUGACCCAACUCUUUUAAUAAGCCCUUUGUUCACCAGCGAUCUAGCAGAAAUAAUAUUUCUCCACCCAUACGAUGGAUAAUAGGUUCGAAUCAGAUCCAUUGGAUUCGAAUUCCUAUAAUAACGACUCUUAAAAACCUUUGCAAAUAGUGAGUCCGGAAACUCCAUAAGUCGCCACAACUGUUUAGCCAAUAGAGUUGAGUUAAAGUCCUGAACGUCCCGGAAACCUAGACCCCCCCCCCAGCUGUUUGCUGUUACAUAGCUUUGCCCAAGCCCACCAAUGCGUUCCCCCAGAAUUCCCAUUUGUCCCCCACCAAAAGUUUGCAACUGCACUGGUUAGUUUAGUUGUAAUUGUUUUUGGUAGCCGGAAGCAGGACGUUACAUACGUCGAUAAUGCUGAUGCCACCGCCUUAAUCAUUACCUCCUUCCCACCCUUAGAAAGCAGUUUUUCUGACCAUCCGUUAAUAUGAUUAUGUAGCCUGUCCUGAAUGAACGAGAAUACCUUGGUUUUCGACCCCCCGAGACUCUCGGGUAAUCCUAGAUAAGACCCCAUCCCUCCGAUGUUCGUAAUUCCCAAAAUCUCUUGCACCUCCAAUUUUGUCUCCUCUCCCACCUUAUGCCCAAAUUGUAUCGAUGAUUUAGCAAAAUUUAUCUGUUGACCGGACACCGCCUCAUAUCUCUUUAGUAUGUCCAAAAUUACCGCACAUUGGUCCCUAUUAGCCUUACAAAAGAAUAGAAUAUCAUCUGCAAAUAGUCGAUGAGAAAUUAGCGGACACUUGUUCGCCACCUUAAUCCCAGAUAUCUCCUUCGCCCCUUCCGCUCUCCUAAUGUUUGCAAUUAAGACUUCCGUGCACAAUAUAAAAAUGUAUGGUGAUAACGGGUCACCCUGCCUCAAACCUCUACCUGGAAUAAUAGAGCCCUGAGGCUGACCAUUAAUCAGAACACAAUAUUCGACCGAGGACACGCAAAACAUAAUCCAUGAGAUCCAUUGUUCCGAAAAACCAAACUUUCGAAGUAACCUUUCAACAAACUCCCAUUCUACCCGAUCAUAGGCCUUACUCAUAUCCGUCUUUAUAGCCAUAAACUUGCUUUUACAUGCCUGAUUCGUCCUUAGCCCAUGAAACAUUUCUUGGGCUAUCAAAAUAUUAUCGGAAAUUAAUCGGCCUGGGACAAAGGCAGAUUGUGUCUCCGAAAUAAGCCUUGGGAGGACCUUUUUUAACCUUUGACAUAAGAUUUUUGAAAUUAUCUUAUAACCAACAUUGCACAAACUAAUUGGCCUGAACUCGGCCAUACGAGUUGGCCUUUCCACUUUUGGAAUAAGACAUAUAUUUGUCCUAUUCAACCUCUUAUCAAAAACCCCAUCCUAGAAAAAAGAGUUAACAACAUAAACCAUAUCUUCUUUAACUACCCCCCAUGCCUUCUGGAAAAACAGAGCCGUCAUACCAUCCGGGCCUGGUGCUUUUUUCGGAUUCAUCAUAAACAAAGCAGUUUUAACUUCAUUCUCCAUCGCUAUUGUCGUCAAUAGACGAUUAUCCUCCUCCGUUAUUAAACUCUGAAUCCCACUUAGUGUAUCCUCAAAGGUGUGAGGAUUACUCAUAGAAAAUAAACCAUGAAAAUAAUCUGUUGCAAUAUUACAAAUAUCUUUAUCCUCCGAGUUCCAUGUAUCCUGGUUAUUAAAUAGGCCCACUAUCUGAUUCCGGGCACGUCGACACUUUGUUUGGGCGUGAAAGUACUUUGAAUUCAUAUCUCCAACUUUCAUCCAUCGGUUCCUACUUUUCUGCUGCCAAUAUAAUUCUUCCUCAUGAUAUGCUUCCCUUAGCUUCCCUGAAAUUUCCAAAAUAGUGGAUGGAGAGGAAUUGUCAUCAGCUUGAGCCUCUUCCAACUGUUUUUUCAGAUCCUCUAUAGUGUCCCUGCCAUAAGGUACAUGUUCCUUCCGCCAGUGAGAAAUAGCCCGUCUGCAAUUGCUAAUAUUAUCAACAAGUGAGGUAUGGCACCGUUCAGUAGACCCACUCCACCCAGAUACAAUAGCUUCCUGAAGUCCAUCUUUUCCCACCCACCGCUUAUCAAAAAUGAAGCACUGUCUCUUAUGAGCUCCCCUUUCCGCUACACUAGUCACUAUUGGCUUGUGAUCAGACCCUAUCAUAGGUAGAUAUUCCGUAACCGUAUCCGUAAACAAUUCAUACCAUUCUUCAUUUCCUAAUGCUCUAUCCAAACGACACCGAAUUGGUUUUUUAUCUCACCCGCGCCAUGAAAACCAAUCACCUAUGAUUGGGAAUUCUAGGAGACCGCAAUUUCGAAUCAUACAAUUAAAUGGAAGAAAAGAAGAUGCAGGCCGUAAUUUUCCACCCCGUUUUUCAUGAUUUCCGGUUAGUUCAUUAAUAUCACCAAUCAAAAACCAAGGGGCGUCCCUAUUUAAACCAAUUCUAGUUAAUGUUUCCCAAACCGCCUCUCGUAAUUUUGGCACCGGGUCACCAUAAACAAAAGAUAAAUAAAUUGUUUUGCCUUUAAAAACCGCUUCUAUGUCAAUAAUCCGAUUAGACUUGAAUAAGACCGAAACAUUAAAAUAUUAUUAUUGUAAAAAAGUGCCAAACCCCCCCCCCCCACUACAACCAUUAGGAUCCACCGUUAUUAAAUGACUAAAACCGAAAUGAGAUUGAAAAUUUUCCACAAAAGGAGAUAAUUGUUUUGUUUCCGAGAGAAAUAAAAAUUCUGGCCGAUGCUUCUUCCAAAUGUCCCGAAGAUACCCGAUUGUUGCCUUACUUCCAAGUCCUUGACAAUUCCAACUUACAACCUUCAUUUUACAACAUGAGGUUUAGGUGGCUUGGCCCCACCAUGACCGCCCUUUUCCAUUUCCCGGGCCUUUAUGUUCCCUCCAUCACCUUGCUUAGGCGCUUGUCGCUUGUGAGGUGUUGAGACCAUCUGAGCCAAACGCUUCUUCGAUCCCGCACCAGCCAAAAUAGGGCCUCGAGGUCGACGAAUACGCUCCAGCCCCUUAUCCUCCUGAUCCGACUUCUCCACUUGUUCCGAUUCUUCCUCCACUCCAUCCGGCGCAACCUCCCUUUCUCCAUCUUUAAUGUCUUCCUCUCCCAGAAGCUCCUGCGAAGUUAACUCCAGCCCCAACUCCCCACUUUCCAAUUCAGUUUCCAACUCCACACUCGGGUCCUGAAAAACCUCAUCAAGAACACUAUCUUCCUUUAUAGGAGCUAAUGUUACCUCGUGAGUAGGAGCUAAUGUUACCUCGUGAGUAAUUUAGUAAUUAAGUGUUGCAAUUACACAUUUUAAUUUUAAAGUAUCAAGGAAAUAACAGUUUCAUUUAAUUCAUCAUAUAACGUACCAAUGUAAAUUCUAACCCGUUCAAACUACUGAUCCACGAGUUCAAAUUUUUUUCCAUAAAAAUAAUGUUUUUGUCACAUUAGAUUUUUUUAAUUAAAUUACGAAUUAUAAUUUUUAUCGUAAAAUAUAAAUAUUUAUAAUUAAAAUCUACAUAAGUUUUGUUAGAUUUAAUGAUUAAUAUAAGGCUUUGACUGUUAGAAUUUUUGUAAAAAAUUACUACUUUUUUUAAUAAAUACUAGGAUUGGACCCUCGUUACAACGCGGGAGAAUAUUUACAUGUAGAUACGAUUUAUAAGAAAUUAAAAUUUGUUAUAUAUUUAUUUAAUGAGCUUUGAUAAAAUUUUAGAAGAAAAAUUUGAUUAAUUGAGAAUUUCAAAAAUAGCCAUUUUCAAAUGCCACUUUUCAAACCUUAUAAAAAAAUCUACUAAAAAUGUUAAAAUUUAUCCAAAAACGAGUGUAAACUUAUAAAUAUACACACAAAUUUCCAUUAUAUAGGUAUAAAAUUUUAUAUCUUUCAUAAAUAUUGUAAAAAUAAAUUAUAAAAACCUUUUAAAAACAUUAUAACCCUUUGAAAACCCUUUAUAAAACCUUAUAAACCUUGUAAAUUGAUUUAAAACUUUUUAAAUUAUUAUAAAUUAUUUGGAUCGAAUCUUCCAGUAAUAGUUAUUAUCUAUAAGUACCUGUGAAACCUUUUGAUCUCCAUGUCUCAUCGCUCGUAGACCGGAAAACGCAUAUACAAGCACAAGAAUCGAAGAUAAUUUGCUGAUGUGUCAAACCCUAAUUUGACAGAUAUUAGCCGGAAUCUCGUCGGAGAUGAAAUCUCGGCUAACUGGGAGAAAACAAAAGUUUUCUUAUUUUUACUUGUAAUUUAUUUAAUUAUUAUUAUUUUUUUAAAAGAUAUGUAUUCAUAUAAAUAAGGAUGAGUAAGGGUAAAAUUGGAGUUUUUUUGUUAUGAGAACGCGGGUAUGUAAAUAACAAAAACAAAAUUUAGGUAUUAAGUUACACACUUUUAUUUAUUUGCGUAUUUUUUUCCAACCAAUAAACAUUAGGUAUUAAACGUCCAAAUUAAACUUAUAUGUGGUAUUUUUUGGGAAUUUUCCUUAUGUUAAAGUGUUUAAUAAAGUUCUCUUUGUUAAAAAAUGUUUAAAACAAUCAAAUAUAAAUAAAAUCCCAUGUUUGGUUUUUAGUGAAAUUACAGAAAAUUUAAGUGACAAAUGAGAACUCAUUUUUUCUUUCUAAUUCAUCCAAAAUCAUCAAAAUCACCUAGAAACUUUUAAACCUCAAAUCGGUAGAAUAUCUUUUAACUUAGGGAACUGGAUGAUUGUAUUUGUAUAUAAUGAUUUACAAUGAUAUUUCAUUUCUUUCUAACCAAUUUUGGAAAGAUAUAUUAUGUCAUUUUAGUUGGGUUUUUAAAUCAAAAAUGAAUAUGUAAAAAGUGAGAAUUUGUAUCAUUCACAAAUUGGACCAUUUUUGAUAUGUUUACCGAUCGGAGUCAUCAUUUAAAUAACUAAAUAUUCGUUGCACGAUACGAUACAUAAUAGAAAUUCAUUAAUGUUCAUUAUUUAGCCUCUAUCUUAAGACAAAACACAUAAAAUUAGUAAUGGAAGGCUUCGCCUCUUCGAUCACUUUUCACAAAGUCUCAUGUCCAAUGCUUUACAAGACUUGCUCUUACUAGAGACUUCAGUGUAAGAGAUAUCUUCCCCUCUAUUAUAGCCUCUAUCUUCUUCCAUAGGCUUAGAACACAUCCUCUCUUCACCGUCAAUAUUACUUGGCCCUGAGCUUGAAGUAUAACCACAUGGUUGUGUUCUCAUUUGAACAGACCUGAGUAGAGCGGUUCUCCUCAAGUCACCAGAAUGGCAGAUAUCGCUGGGCGAUGAUGGAAACCUUCCUUCUGUGUCUGAUCCUCUAUGGCGAGACUGUGGAGUAGUAGUAGUAGUUGUUGCAUUGGAGCUCAUGGAGGCAGGACAUGUAUGUGAAUGGUGUGAGAUUGUUGUCGAUGACAGGUGUGGUGAGUUUGUUGAAGUAAGAGGUCUUUGGUAUCGGUAUGGUGAAACUGGACUAGUUGGGCGGCUCUCAGGUUGCGAUGAGCUAGUGCUUGUUGUUGUUGUUGGGUCCUCACAGAAUCUCGCUUCGUCAGAGUCUUCAGACAUGGGAGAGUAUUGUAAUGGCAAAUCAUCCCUGUGUCAUGAAGCUCAUCAGAUAGUUUAAACUGAAACUUCACAACCAUAUUCAAAACAAAUGCUCCACUCCAGAGACUCUACUGAGCUAAAACACUACUAGACCCUGCUUGAAUCUUUUGGUAUCAAGUUUCAAACAAAGAAUCCAGAUAGAGAAACAAAACAAUCUUCAACUCACUUCAAUACCAUUUUGAGUACAUGACUACACUCUGAUAAACACAAGUACACCGAAAAUACCAAAACACAAAAUCCGAGGUGAGAGAGAUUUUUCCAAACCUGUGAUAAAGAAAGCUCUCAGACCGAGCAGGAGACUCUAACAUGUUGACAGGAAGUGAGUCCCCGACUGUUAGUCCGUUUAAACUACACGCCAUUAUCUACAAGAUAGCCAAAAUCUCAGGACAUUUUAAAGACUGUAAAUAAAGAAAACUAUCAAAAGCUAUUCCAACUUGAUCUCAUAAACUUUAACAGAUAUCAUUUAACCAUCCCACAAAACAAGAAAGCGUUCGAGCGGAUAAGGAAAACGUAGCUUCAAAUGACGAUUUCAGAACCCACAAGAAUCAUCUAACAACUCAAUUACAGAACAAGAAACGACCAGAAUGAAACAAACCUCGCUAAGAUAACGUUUCUGGGAGCGAAGGUUAUCAAGAUAAACCUCAUCUUCCGGUUCUCUGCUUCGUUUCCCGCUCGGCGAGGAAGAGACUGAUACCGGCAUUGGUGGCUCAUUAGCUUCUUGUGUAACUAACCUACCUCCUGAAAGAAUCAAACACUUAUCUCUACUACUUGCAUAACCCAAAUAGUUUAGUAUGAGAAAUCAACUAUAAUGAUCUAACCCCAUACUCAAAAACAUUUCAAAUAAAAACAGAAAUUAAACGAAAAAACACACAAACUAUAUACAAAUCAAUUGAUCCAAAGAGAUGGCUAAACACAAAUUUAUAUAUAUUCGGUUAAUAAUUCCCAAUUAAUUGAAAAUUUCAAAGGACGAAACUAAAACACACAAAAUUUCUAUACUUAGAGGAAUCUGAUCUACUACAGUAUAAUCAAAACAGCGAUUGAAAACGAGUGAAGAUGAUUAAAAUCGAAUUCAGAAUUUUAAAAUUGAGCGAUGGGAAAGCAAAUUGAAGAAGAAGAAGAAGAAGGGACCUGGGUCUGGAGGAAUUGGGACGUGAGUAGAUUGAGUUGGAGAAGACGAAGCCAUUUCGAUCAGAGGGUAACAAAGCAGAUUCAGCAACGGAUACGGAGGUUGAAGAAAAUAUAUUCACAACUCCUUUGUUUUGAUCAAAGGCCAAAAGGGUUAUUAUUGGUGUAUUUGGUACUCAUUUUAGUUUUUUUUUUUCCAAAUACUAUAAUAUUUUCAAAAAUACCAUAAAAAUUUUAUUUUUCUAAAAAUACUAUAAACAUAAAAAGUUGAUUUUUGAAGGUGUAAAUUUUUUUUUUAAUGUUUGGGUUGACUAUUUAUAUUUAAGGUUUAGUUUUUAGGGGUAAAGUUUAAUGUUUAUAAUUUAGAAAUCAGUUUUGAAUAUUAGAAAAAUUAUUUUUAGUUUUGUGGUAUUUUUGUAAAAAAUUAUUUUAGUAGUACUUUUAGAAAAUAAAACUUGUAAUGGUAUUUUUGGAAAAUACCUAUUUUCAUGGUAUUUAAGAGAAUUUCCCUUAAUAAAUUUUGUAUUAAUGGUUCACACCCAAAAAAAAAAAAAAAAAAACUUUAUUUAUUAAUUUGAUGUAAAUCGUUUUUAUCAAUAAUAAUAUUGAAAUUUUCAAUAAUUUUUUCAACGAAUUUACUCCAUUAUCUUUAUAAAGUUUUGUAAAUAAUGUUCUACACUUUUCACUACAAUUUCUCUCGUUAUUUUCUAUGAUUUAUUCGUUGUUUUCUAAUACCUUUUCACGUUUUAUCGACUCUCAUAUAACAUAUUCAACUAUGAAUUGAUUUUCAAUCAAAACAUAUCAUAUAUAUUGUCUCCUCACUAUUUUUCUAUACACGAUUUUAUUAAAAUAAAAUGUAAAGCAAGUCUUCUCGAGCAUUUUAGCUUUAGUAGUAUACUUACAACAAUACUUUAGUUAUGAUACAUCCUCAAAUUAUAAUCAUGCACUUUCUCAAAGUCUAGAAACCUCAAAUUGUUUCUAGUCCUCUAAUGGAUAAGGAGAGUUAUUUUUCUCUGGUUUUGCAAACUGUGUUGGAAGAUGUAUUCAUAAUAUUUAUUUGUCUCCAAAUAGAGUUUCACAUAUGUCGUCUAAGAUGUGUAAUUUUGAGAGCCGAAAACUUUAACCCUUCCAUGUUUACCAUUAGUUAUGUAAACACAAAUUUUAGAAUUGACCAUUUCUAUUAAUAAUGCUUGCGUUCUAUUCGUGCUAUUGAAAAUAUUUAUCAUUUAUUAUUUACAAGAAUAAUAAGAAUUGACUGGUCUUGCUUGUCCAGAGAACGAACAUUGUGACAGUCAAGAAUUAAAAAAAAUAAUAAUAAUAAUAACCAAGUAAAUCCUGGUAUAUAUGUCAUUGUAUCUUCCACAUAUUGCUCUAUCACGUCACCUUCUUAAUUAAUAGUUAGUCUUCUUCUUAGCUGGUGCUUGUUGGUUCUCGUCCUCUUCUUCUCUUACCUUUUUGAAUCCUGCAAUUAUUAGUAAAAGAAUCUCAUUCUCAUUAAUUAUGUAAAAUGUACAAUUGGGGGUUUAUAUACAUACUAGUUGUUGACCCGCGCUGCGCACGGGAGGUUUAUAAUUUAUAUUAUGAAUUUGUUUUUUUUUGUUGGCUUUUUUGUUGUUGUCAUUUUUGUUAUUCUAAUUUUAUAUAAUUUUUUUUUUAAUUUUGUAUUAGUUUAGUACUUAAAAUGUUAAUUGUCAUUUGUUAUUUGUUUGAGGUCGAGGGCAAGUUUAUGCGGUAUUCUCACUUUUCGUUAGUUAUGGGAUUAGAGAGAUGAUGUGUCUGGUGUCUAGUUUUGAUCUAUUCCAUGAUAGUUGUUCCUGGAGUUGGCUUGUUUUUUGUUUCUUUCUAUGCUUAAAUCUGCGUACUCUCGCCAAUGGUUUCAAAAUCGGUGCAUAGCUGCAAAGAAGUUGCUCUCUAAACAACGGUUAUAGUAGAUGUUUUUCCAAUCUAUCCUUAACCGGUUUGAUUGUUGUAUCCGAUGUUUAACUAUCCAGUUCCAAAUUCGUGUAUCCAACGUUUUCUCGAUCUUCCUUAACCAGUUUGAUUGUUGUGUAAUCGUUGGGUCUCAAGCCCAUGCCUUUUUGAAAUUAUUACUAAUUUUUUUUAAAAAAGUUGAUGAUGUGGCGGAUGAUGUGGCAGAAGGAGAAGAGAGGAAAGGUAACUUUAUAUAUAUAGAUGACCAGGCCUAAACCAAAGCCUCUAAACCAGCUAAUCUCAACUUAUACAGACUCUAAUUAAGCUAUACAAAAGCAAUGUACUAUACAAGAGAGCAUAUACUGUAAUAGUCCCCCUCAAGAUGGGGCAAAUAUAUUUCUAAGACCCAUCUUGCUUACCAAUUGAUUGAAAGGAGCUGGAUGCAGAGCUUUUGUGAAAGGAUCUGCAAGUUGCAAAUGAGUGUUGACAUGAAUAAGUUUGAACAAACCUGCAACUAACCUCUCACGAAUACUGUGGCAGUCAGAUUCAAUAUGUUUAGUUCUUUCAUGAAACACAGAGUUGUUAGCAAUGUGGAUGGCUGCUGUGUUAUCACAAAACAGAAGAGUAGGUUUGCUCAAAGGAAUCUGAAGCUCUUUAAAGAACUGAGUCAGCCACAUCAAUUCAUCAGUGGCCAAAGAAAGACUGCGAUAUUCAGAUUCUGCAGAAGAUUUGGAGACAACCUUUUGCUUCUUGGACUUCCAGCAAAUGAGAGAAGUACCUAAGAACAUGCAGUAGCCAGAGGUGGAUCUCCUUGUGUCUUUGCAGGAACCAUAAUCUGCAUCAGCAAACACUUGAAGUUGACGCUCAGCUUGAGAAGAAUAAAACAAACCUUGUCCAAUUGUGCCUUUAAUGUAGUGUAAAAUGGUGUAGACAGCUUGUAAAUGGACAUGGCGAGGAGCUUCUGAAUAUUGGCUGAGCUUGUUGACAGCAAACGUGAUAUCAGGGCGCGUGAUUUGCAGAUACAUGAGCUUGCCAAUGAGACGCCUAUAUGCUUUGCUAUCAACUAAGUCACCACCAUUAUCUUUGGAAAGCUUAACACUGGGAUCCAUGGGAACAGGGGAUGGUUUGCAGCCUAAGAGACCUGUUUCAUCAAGCAAAUCCAAAGCAUAUUUACGUUGGCAAAUAUGGAUACCAGCUUCUGACCUGGCAAUCUCCAAACCGAGAAAAUACUUCAAGGGGCCAAGAUCACGCAAUUUAAAACUGGAUUUGAGCUGAGUCUUCAAAAGCUCCACGGCUGCAUCAUUGUUACUGGCGAUGAUUAUAUCGUCAACAUAAACCAGAACACAUAAGAAAAGAGCAUUAGUGAUUUUCAUGAAACAAGUAUGGUCACAAUGAGACUGCACAAAACCCAGAUCUGUAAGAGUGGUCUUAAACUUCAAGAACCACUGUCGAGAAGCCUGUUUGAGACCAUACAAAGACUUCUGCAAUCUGCAAACUGCAUUGGGUGGAAGAGAGUCCCCCUGUUGUGAUGAAUACCCUGGAGGAAGCUUCAUAUAUAUUUCUUCAUCUAAAUCACCAUUUAGAAAAGCAUUAGAGAUGUCUAAUUGGUGAAGAGUGAAGCCAUAUAUAGCAGAAACAGCAAGAAGAAGCUUCACUGAGGUGAGUUUGCAGACUGGAGAGAAGGUAUCAUUAAAAUCAACUCCCUCUGUUUGAGUGUACCCCUUUGCAACCAAUCUAGCCUUGUACCUCUCAAUACUACCAUCAGCAUUAUAUUUGAUUUUGUAAAUCCACUUGCAACCAAUGGGUGUUUUAUUUGGAGGUAAAGUACAAAUUUCCCAUGUGUGAGUAUUCUCCAAUGCAGCAAUUUCAUCAUCCAUAGCUCCACACCACACAAGAACUUCUUUUGCUUCAGUGUAGGUUGAGGGUUCUUUAUUUUUGUCUAUGGAAGUCAAGAAUGAAAGAUAAAGCACUGACACUUUAUCAUAAGAAAGGAAUUGAGCAAUUUCAUGUAUGGUUGAAGAUCCUACUGAAUGACAGUAGUAAUCUUGAAGAUAAGCAGGUUUCUUUGUUCUCCUAUGCGAUGUUUGAACAGAAGGUUCAGGAACAUCUAUGUUAGGACUAGCAGAAGGCAUAGUCUCUAAGGAAGAUGAAGAUGGAGAAGCAUCCUCAACAGAAUAUUGGUGAAGCAUAGGAGAGUUGCUAUUAAGAUCAGGGAAAGAGUUUUUAGCUUCCUGAGUUAGAUCUAUUUUAGCAAAAGGAAAGAGCUGCUCAUGAAAAAUUACAUGUCUAGAGAUGAAAACAUCAUUAGUAACCAGAUCAAGUACAGACAUGUCCAAUUCUACCACAGAAAGUACAGACAGGUUUAUCCUUCUUUUGAUAACCACCAGAAGAUGUGCUCUGAGAUGUUUGCUGAGAGACUUGAAAUGCUGUAGAGUCUAAAGUAGCAGUCUGAGGAAGACAAGCAGACCUCUGAGAAUCAUCCUGAUCCAGCAUAUUGUAAACCUCAGAUAGAGAAGGCAAGCUUUUCUUCAUAAGAAUCUGGCUACGAACAGUGUCAUAGUUGUUGUUGAGUCCCAUGAGAAAGUCUAUGACACGGUUUGUUUCUCUUUCAGCAAGUAAAUCUUCAACAGAUCUUGCAGUCACCUGAAGACUAGACAAUUCUUCCCAAAGAGCUUGAGUUUUGGUGUGAUACGAAGACAAAUCCAUACUUCCUUGACGAAGAGAGUGUAUCUGCUGGCGAAGCUUGUAGAGACGUGGGAGAUUGGAUUUGUGAUAUCGAGUGUAGAGAUCUUUCCAAAUCUCUGCUGCUGUAGCAAAGUAGAGAAUGCUGGAGUAGAUCUGUUUCGAGACACUAUUCAAUAGCCACGACUUCACCAUGCUAUUACAACGUUUCCAAAUCAGAAAGUAAGGAUCGGAUUCAUCAGGUCGAACAAGAGAACCAUCCACAAAUCCUAGUUUGUUCUUAGCUUCGAUACUAGUGGUUAUCGCAACAAUCCAGGUGCCAUAAUUGGUUCCAUCUAAGAGAUCAGGGACAAGAACGAGACCUGGAUGAUCGGAGCUGUGAAGGUGAAAAGGACUGUGGAUAUUGUCUGGAGAGUUCGAGAUUUCAAAAUGAGGAGUAAAUGACUUGAAUCGAGCAUUAGAAACCGGAUACGCAGAGCCAAGAGCAUUACGCGACGGUGAAGAGCUACGAGUCUUGUCAUGAGAGAUCGGAGAAUCGUUUUCCGGUAGAUCUGGUGUAGAGGAUCGAUACUUCGAGUUCGUCUUUCGUUUUCCCAUGGAGAACAGAUGAGCUGAAAUCGAACGAUGAGAGGCGAAAUCAAGCUGAAUCUGAGGAGGAAUCGAAAGAAGAGAAGAAGCGAAGACUACAGCAAAGAAUCGAGAUCGGAAUCGAAGAACUCCGGUAACGUAACAAACUUUUCCGGCGGAAGAUCAGAAAAAUUUGUUAGAGAGAACGAGAGUGUAAACGCUCUGAUACCAUAUUAGUAAAAGAAUCUCAUUCUCAUUAAUUAUGUAAAAUGUACAAUUGGGGGUUUAUAUACAUACUAGUUGUUGACCCGCGCUGCGCACGGGAGGUUUAUAAUUUAUAUUAUGAAUUUGUUUUUUUUUGUUGGCUUUUUUGUUGUUGUCAUUUUUGUUAUUCUAAUUUUAUAUAAUUUUUUUUUUAAUUUUGUAUUAGUUUAGUACUUAAAAUGUUAAUUGUCAUUUGUUAUUUGUUUGAGGUCGAGGGCAAGUUUAUGCGGUAUUCUCACUUUUCGUUAGUUAUGGGAUUAGAGAGAUGAUGUGUCUGGUGUCUAGUUUUGAAACUGAAAACCAGAACCAUAGUGUGGUUUCAUAUCAACUUUUAAGAAAGGGAUCCACGACACCGCAUUGGGCUCAAUCGUACUUGUAACCCAAAUCUCCACCUCUGAUCUAUCCACGCUCUGAUAUAACGCCUCGAGCUUCUCGUCUCUAAGAGAAGAUAGAGCUCCAGCAUCAAAGCGAAAGUGGUGGAACGGCAAAGGAAGAAACGGUCCGAAGCUCUCCCUCGUAAAAUCAAAACAAAGUAAAUGAUCUGCCGGCUCUGGUAUCUCUCCAUCCUCUCCAAAAAGGAUUUUUUCCUUGGCAAUAAAAUAAGUAUUUCCCUUCAAAGACGCACCGCGUUGAUAAGAAUCUAUAUCCCAGUUGGGAGCGAUAUCAAGAACCCUCCAUGAACCAGAACUAAAAUCAUAGAUUUCGUACCCAAAAACAUGGCUCUGGUCUAUUUCAUGAUCAUCCAAGAACCUCAAGAUUUUGUGUUUACGGUUAUUGUCGUAUCCGAAACCAUACCUGUCUAGUAUGUGGUAAUUGUUUAGAGGUUGGAUCCACCUGGUUUGACCCAAAUAAGGGUUCCAUACGACGAGCCUUGUGUUGUCUUCUUUGGUCACACAUAAAAAUAAGCCAUCGCAUUGAAAGACGUUAGAUAUCUCCACUUGAUUAAGAAAACCACCCAAUUCCUUUAUAGAUGGAUCCACAAAUUCGUUCAGAUCGAAUCUAACUGAACAAAGCUUAUACUUUUUCAUCAUGAACCCUAGAAACUGAUGCCUUGCCUCUGCUUUACACAACAACUUACGUUUCGAUAAAGUGUUCCAUUGUUUACAUGUCGAUCUCACCGCUCCCACACAAGCUAUGGGAACCCUCGAGAGUAUCUUCUCUACCAAAUUUUUUGAAAGAUCAGAGAUCGUUGUCAUUGUUCCCAAGACAAAGAAAUCUGGAAUUGUUUUUUUUUUUUUUCUGGAAAACAAAUCAGAAUUUUCUAACUUGCCCGAUCAGAGAGAGAGAGAGGCGUAUAUGUUUAGCGAUGUAUGUAUGUAUGUGUUAAAUAAAAGAUGUUCUUAUAAAAGAUUUUUUAAAAAAACUCUUUUCCUUUUCCGAAUUGGGGUUGCUAAAAUUCUGGUUAUAAAUAUUAUUUAACAAAACAUAUAAAACCAUUUCAACAAAAACAUUUUUGUCUUUUUCUUGGUUAAUUUUUUUCUUUUUGUUUAAGGAACUUAGUUUUGUUUUUAAGAUAGAGAUAUGCAAUUAAUUUUUGUUAAGGGAAACAAAAAAAGUUAAAACCGCCGUCUCAUACAUUGUCGGAGUUUGGUAAUCUAAUUAGUUUUAAGCCUCGAUUGGUAACCAUGAUUUAGGAAAAAAAUGAGAAGGAAUGUGACAUUCCUCUUCAUUCCUCAAUUUUUUUACCAUUUACAAGGAAUCAUUUUUCCACAUCAUUCCUCUACAUUCCUCACAAAAUGAGGAACAAUAGAACAAAAAUGUUCCUCCCCAAAAUUGAUGAGGAACAAAUGGAACAAAAAAAAGAACAAAUAUUAAAAUUCGUUUUUUAUUUUAAAAUAAAAAAAAAAUUAUUUAUUAAUAAUAUUUUAAUCUCAUAAUAUAAUAUUUUCAUAUUUUUAUCAUUUAUUGACAUUAAAAAAUAUUUUUGAUAUGAAUUUCAUGUUAAAAAAUCUUACUAUACAUUAUUUAAAAUUUGUAUGGAUAGUAAAACAUAUUUAAGAGAUGUUUAUAUCAUAAAUAACAAAUAAAAAAUUACUAUAAUCUAUAAUAGGUUAAUAUAAAUUAUUAAUUUUUAACAUUAAAUAUUUAAAUUCAUUCAAAAAUAUAUUUUAAAAUUAGUGUCAAAUUCAUUAUAUAUAAAUUAUAUCUAGUAUUAUUAUUAAAAGUUGAUUUAUUUAAUCAAAUAUAUUAUAAAAGAUAGUGUUAUUGUUUGGUUACCAUUUAUUAUUUUGUUCUUCUCUGCAUGUUUUCUUUUCAUUCCUCAAAAGUUGUUUAUUCCGUUCCGUAUUGUUCUUUUUGUUCUUUUUCCUUUUGUUCCUCUAAUGGUUACCAGUAGAAGCCUUAGUUUAUGGUUUGUGAUAAUAUUAGCGUUAAUAUUAGUACAUCAUUCCACAUAACAUGAGGUUCUGCAACCGAGGAAACCCACCGCCCGAGCAAACCAUUCUCUUCCCACAGAAAGAUUGACUUAAAAUAAACUGACAUCAUAUAAGUGAAGCAGCUUUGCUAGAAUUGGCAUCGGAUCUUCCACCAAACGAUACUCACACAGAGACAUGGUUCUAAGGAGAGAAGGGAAACAUGGUCAAUUUUGAAAAUAUUUAUCAUUUAAAUGGUCAAUGCCAAUUUAUAGAAGAGAAAAAUAUGAUUCCACCAAAUUUUUUACAAUUACAAUAUUUAUCAUAUUUUGCUUUCAAUUUUAAUUUUUUGCAGAUUAGUUUAUCAAAUAUUUUUGCCAAAUUUUAAAUUAUAUUCACAAGGAAUUCAUAAAUAGAUUAUCCAAAUUUAUGAAAUUGUUAUAUAUCACUUAUGUUAUCUUUCAACCAAUAUACAAUUUCACUAAACUAUAUUAAAAGAUUGCAUUUUCUUAUACACAGUUGAGGUAAUGUCCGUGAUCGAUAAAUUUAACGGUUUUAGGGAAAAUACAAUAUUUGCGUACUUAUAUUAAAACCAGACCUAAUUACUAUUGUACACGCUAAUUAAAAUAUACAAGACUAUUAUGUUUAUCCUAUACUAUUGAAUACCAAAUAUUAAUACAAACCCAAUUAUAUUAUUAGUUUAAAAAACAUCAUCCGUGCGAAAGCACGGGCAUCCUCUAAUUAGUUAUGUAAACACAAAUUUUAAAAUUGACCAUUUAUAUUAAUAAUGCUUGCGAUUAGAAAGAACACAAAUGCACAAAAAAAAGAAGUAAACCAAUGUAUAUAAUAAACACUAGGUAAUGUCCCGCGCAUAUGCGCGGGUUAUUGUAUAUUUAUUUAAUUAUUUUAAUUUAUUUAUUACUUAUAAAAAUAGAUUAAAUAAAUUUUAAUGUUUAUGACAUUUUUACAUUUUAUUUAUUUAAAUCAUACAAUAGAACCAUACACCCAUAUCUUUUGAAUUUAUUCGUUGAUUAAUUGUUCAAUUUUGAUAGUAAUUUUCUUUAGUGCUUUUAAAUAUUUUUUGAUAAAAUAGGAAUGAUAUUGGGAGAAUUUAAAAAAUACACUUUUAAAAAUACCAUUUUUUAAAUUUACCCCUUUUUCAAACUUUAUCAAAACAACCACUAAAAAUGUUAAAAUUUAUCCAUUUAUGUGUGUAAACUUAUAAAUAUACACACAAAUUACCUUUAUUUGUGUAUAAAAUUUUAUUUAUUUCAAUGUCUUACAAAUUGGUUUGAAUAUAACCAAAAACUAUUUUGUUAAAAUAAUUACAUACUUUGAAAAUAAAAUAAAUAUACAUGAAUUUGUGAGAAAAAAAAACAUAUAAAGUAAAACAAUGAAGAUGGUCUAUUUAGCUUGAUUUUCUUAUGGUGCGAUGGUCAGAAAUCAAUAUUUUUGAAUCCCAUCGAUAAAGUAAUUUCCUUAUAGCCAUAAAAUAUUAUUAUACAUAUGUAUUAUAUAUUUAAUAGUAUAAAAAAUAAUGAAAAAAUGAAGAAGUACAUAAAAUAAAGAAGAAAUAUUAUUGAAAACAAAAGUUUUAACCAAAUAUAUUGAAAGAACCCAUCCCAUUUUUUUUCUUUUAAACAUGCAAACCGGAUUAACCCAAUUAAUUCGAACCAGCUAAACCGGCCAUAAUAAUUUAAAUCAAUUAAACCAAGCAAUCUCAUUAAAGUAAACCAACAAUAUUAUCCAGCGGAAGACUUAACCAAAAAUCCAAUAAUACGAUUCCAUUAAACCAACAAGUUCAACCAAACAUUAUUCCAAAACAUGAUCCUCCUAACAUGUUUCUAAAUUCCAUUCUAACACCCUAACAAAUCCAACAAUAAUCUAAAACACCAAUGAGUGCCUAGAUCAUCCUCCUCUCCUCGCCAUGAUUCCACGGAUCACACUUUGCUUUUACCUGCAUCAAAGAAAGAGAUGCAUAAGUAUUUCAUAAAUACUUAGUGAGGGCGAUCCUCCCAUCUACGAGCUAUACACACAAGCAAUGAGAUAACACCCACAUAUAUAACAAAAACAAACCAUCCAGCAAGCUAAACAUCCAAUAACACAUCCAGUUCACCUACAAAUCAUCACACAACAAGUCACUCAAUCCCAAUCGCUUAGAUAAGCUCAUGGUCACGCACUCACCUUAACAAGGUGAUUUGAGUUACAAAAACAACCAGGAAAUACUCUCUUCGUGACUGCAACAGCCAAACAACGCCCUACAACAAACCACACAAACACAAAUCUCUAAGAACCAAAAGGACAGAAACAUCAAAAAAACUACAGCCGCAGAAACGAAGCCCUAAAACAUAAACUAACCGUUAACUUCUUAAUCCCUACGGUGAAAAGCAAGAUACAGACGUCACGAAGCCCCCUACAAAAUUUGGUGCCGAUCGGAGAAACGAUGAAUCCACGAUCGCACUUACAAACUCCGCUGAUCCCAGUUCGCAACAGAGAAAACGCGUCUCACCAAACUGCAUAUAACUCACUGAGUAUUAAUCCAAAUUCACUUCUGUAAAAAGGAGAAUCAACGUACACGCCUUAAGAACAAACCUACCAAAAUUCAUUACCNNNNNNNNNNNNNNNNNNNNNNNNNNNNNNNNNNNNNNNNNNNNNNNNNNNNNNNNNNNNNNNNNNNNNNNNNNNNNNNNNNNNNNNNNNNNNNNNNNNNUUCGAUAAGAUUUGAUACGUCGUAACUCUAUUCUACCAGAACGUGACGGAUCUGCUUCUCUUGCCUUAAACACCAAAGCAAAGCUAACACUCUCCUUUUCACAAGUAAACUUCUCAUUUUCCUUUUCUCAACUCAACUCUCAGAAACAACAGCCACAAAACAAGAGAGAGAAGAAGCAUUCUUUAUAAAACUAGGGUUUUUGGUUUAAUUCUGAUUAAACCAGAAUUUACCUAAACCGACUUUAAUUAAACCUCUUUUGGUUCAAUUAAACAAAUCGACCAGUUUAGGAAAUCAACCGGAAUUAAACCGAUUCCACCCUAAUUCUUAUACACAUUCAAGUCUCAUAUUAAUUUUCAGAACACGGGCGUUACAAUUCUCCCCCACUAACAUGGAUUCGUCCUCGAAUCCUUCAACACCGUCCACCAGUUGGACUCCGUGCAACCGUCCCAAACGAUCUGCACUCCCACAACUGACUCCUCUGAGGCUCCUAUCUAAUCCAUAUACUCACGUUCCAGACCCUAUUUGCUCAUACUCACCCACUUCCCCCGUCCACAGGUCGCAACCCAUGAAUCAUACCGGCUCGUCCUCAGGCCUCUGCCUUAGACUACGGUAUCCAGGAAGUCUCACCACUCCCCCCGCUAUCAGGUCGCAACCCUCAAGUCAUACCGGCUCACUAUUAGGCCACCCGCCUUCUAGCUACGGUAUCCGGGAAGUCUCACGCUCGCUCUCGGGUCGUCACCCUCAAAUGUGCACUCGAAUCGUCAUCCGAAGCCAUCACAUCAUAUCCGAGCAAAUAAGUCUAAACGCCCCCGAGCAUAUCUCUCGAUUAGAUAUACCUCCCGUGGUCCACUUAUAGCAUCGCAAUGCUAUACUAACCACCACCCCGAGACUUUCCAAAAAUAGAACCGUCAAACCCGACACUUUCUAUUUUUAGAAACUCGCACAUAUUUCUCUUACACAUGACACAACAAGUCAAAUCAAGAAAUACUCACAUAGUCCAAGUACAACAUCACAAUGUCAUACCUACCAAACAAUAUUCCCACCUGGAAUAUCAUCUCUACCAUGACCAUUCUUCAAGUCAACUCCCAAACAAUCCCGUCACUCAGAGUAUUACAUAAUAGUCUCCAACUUAACUUCUCGGAAAUCCAUUUCCAACAAAACACCACCGAAGACCCGCGCUCCAGACUACAACCACCACAACCACAUAACUACUUCGAGCACCACGCUCGCAACCUCUAGCCUCCCACACUGCCACGAGCAGAAACUAGGAAAACAGAUGACUAGAGAAAAGAUAAAACAUCACAACUUACCGUGGAAUCUCAUUGAAGGCUCGAGAGGAUGAUCUAGGUCUCCAUGCUCACACAACUGAUUAAACACACAAAUCAAUCAGCAUGCAAUCCACAUCAUCAUUUUCCAUCAACGAAAUUCACACAUCACAUAAAAAAUAACCAAUUUACUCCCGCCCUAGAACCGUAAGGGCUCUGAUACCAAAUUGAAAGAACCCAUCCCAUUUUUUUUUCUUUUAAACAUGCAAACCGGAUUAACCCAAUUAAUUCGAACCAGCUAAACCGGCCAUAAUAAUUUAAAUCAAUUAAACCAAGCAAUCUCAUUAAAGUAAACCAACAAUAUUAUCCAGCGGAAGACUUAACCAAAAAUCCAAUAAUACGAUUCCAUUAAACCAACAAGUUCAACCAAACAUUAUUCCAAAACAUGAUCCUCCUAACAUGUUUCUAAAUUCCAUUCUAACACCCUAAUAAAUCCAACAAUAAUCUAAAACACCAAUGAGUGCCUAGAUCAUCCUCCUCUCCUCGCCAUGAUUCCACGGAUCACACUUUGCUUUUACCUGCAUCAAAGAAAGAGAUGCAUAAGUAUUUCAUAAAUACUUAGUGAGGGCGAUCCUACCAUCUACGAGCUAUACACACAAGCAAUGAGAUAACACCCACAUAUAUAACAAAAACAAACCAUCCAGCAAGCUAAACAUCCAAUAACACAUCCAGUUCACCUACAAAUCAUCACACAACAAGUCACUCAAUCCCAAUCGCUUAGAUAAGCUCAUGGUCACGCACUCACCUUAACAAGGUGAUUUGAGUUACAAAAACAACCAGGAAAUACUCUCUUCGUGACUGCAACAGCCAAACAACGCCCUACAACAAACCACACAAACACAAAUCUCUAAGAACCAAAAGGACAGAAACAUCAAAAAAACUACAGCCGCAGAAACGAAGCCCUAAAACAUAAACUAACCGUUAACUUCUUAAUCCCUACGGUGAAAAGCAAGAUACAGACGUCACGAAGCCCCCUACAAAAUUUGGUGCCGAUCGGAGAAACGAUGAAUCCACGAUCGCACUUACAAACUCCGCUGAUCCCAGUUCGCAACAGAGAAAACGCGUCUCACCAAACUGCAUAUAACUCACUGAGUAUUAAUCCAAAUUCACUUCUGUAAAAAGGAGAAUCAACGUACACGCCUUAAGAACAAACCUACCAAAAUUAAUUACCUUUCGAUAAGAUUUGAUACGUCGUAAAUCUAUUCUACCAGAACGUGACGGAUCUGCUUCUCUUGCCUUAAACACCAAAGCAAAGCUAACACUCUCCUUUUCACAAGUAAACUUCUCCUUUUCAUUUUCUCAACUCAACUCUCAGAAACAACAGCCACAAAACAAGAGAGAGAAGAAGCGUUCUUUAUAAAACUAGGGUUUUUGGUUUAAUUCUGAUUAAACCAGAAUUUACCUAAACCGACUUUAAUUAAACCUCUUUUGGUUCAGUUAAACAAAUCGACCAGUUUAGGAAAUCAACCGGAAUUAAACCGAUUUCACCCUAAUUCUUAUACACAUUCAAGUCUCCUAUUAAUUUUCAGAACACGGGCGUUACAUAUAUAAUCAAAAUCUUACAAUGAUAUCUUAACUGAGCUUUCAACCCAUGCAAGAACAUUAAAAAUUAAACAAAGAAAAUAUUGAGAAUAUCAUAUAUGGUGGAGGAGGAUGUACAAAUGAGUAUUUAUAGGAUAAAAUAUGAUGGAAGUUAUAAUUCUAAAAUAAUUAAAUUAGAGGAGUUAUAAUUAUAUUUUAUAGUGUGUUAAUUGAAAUUGAAUGGAGGAAACAAAUAGUCAAUUGAAAGGUUAUAUAGUUUAAGUUACAAUUUAAUAGUAAAGCGUGGAUUUCAAGUAUAAAUUAAAGUAUAUGACUAAAUGUGUUAGAUAUUUGGUUUAAUUAAAAAUAAAUAUUAUAAUUAAAAAAUAAAUGCUAAAUGGACCAAUAAGAAGAAACCUUAAAAAAUUCCCAAAGAAUAAUUUUAUUUUUUAAUUUGAUUUUAUAUUCCUCUUCAUUUAAGCUAUAUCUCUAGGUUUAAUUAUUUUUUUCAUCGUUGUAGUAUAUAUAAUAGAUAGAAAAUUGAAUAUCAAAUUGUUUUUUAUAUAGGAAAUCAAGUAUAAAAUUCAAAGUUAACAAAAAUUAUAAUGUUGUUUAUAUUAUUACAGAUUGAAUCACAAACUAAAUAUAAGGAUCAUUAUUCUUAAAAGAAUGUCUUACAAAUUGGUUUGAUAAUUAUAUAACAAAAAGUUUAUUUUGUUAAAAAAGUUACAUACUUUUGAAAUUAAAAUAAAUAUACAUGAAUAUGUGAGAAAGAAACAAACAUCCAAUGUAAAAUAAUGAAGCUGGUUUCUUUAGCUUGAUUUUCUUAUAACCAUAAAAUAUUAUUAUACAUAUGUAUUACAUUUAAAAAUAUAAAAAACAAUGAAGACAUAAAGAAAUACAUAAAAACAAAAAAAUAAAUAAAAUUGAAAAAAAAGUUCAAACUAAAUAAUUAAUCAAACUCUUACAAUGAUAUUUUAAAUAAGUUUUCACCCCAUGAAGAACUUAAAAAAAAAACAAAGAGAAUAAUGAAGAUAUGAGAUAUGGUAGAGAAGGAUGUGAGAAUAGUUAUUUAUAUGAUAAGAAGUGAUGUAAAUUACAUUUUUAAAAUAAUUAAAUUAGAGGAGUUAUAAUUAUAAUUUAUAGUGUGUUUAAUUGGAAUUCAAUAAAGAAAACCAAUAGUCUUUGGAAAUUUNNNNNNNNNNNNNNNNNNNNNNNNNNNNNNNNNNNNNNNNNNNNNNNNNNNNNNNNNNNNNNNNNNNNNNNNNNNNNNNNNNNNNNNNNNNNNNNNNNNNNNNNNNNNNNNNNNNNNNNNNNNNNNNNNNNNNNNNNNNNNNNNNNNNNNNNNNNNNNNNNNNNNNNNNNNNNNNNNNNNNNNNNNNNNNNNNNNNNNNNNNNNNNNNNNNNNNNNNNNNNNNNNNNNNNNNNNNNUGAUUAUAACUUAUAAUGUGCUUAAAUUUUGUAUUGAAUGAUUGUCAUUAACAUUUGUUUAUUUAUUUAUUUUGUUGAAUGAUAUAUGAUUAAGUCCUUUCAUUUUCUUUGUCAUUUGAUUAUAACUUAUAGUGUAAUUAAAAAUUGUAUUGAAUGAUUGUCAUAAACAUUUAUUUAUUUAAAAAAAAAAAAUCAAAGACUUAAAUAUUUUUCCACCAAUAAGGAGAGAGUGAAACCUUACUUUUAUAUAUAUGAUUUCGUGAGUAAAUUUCCAACAAAGAAAUCAUAAAAACAAGUAGUAGUUACAACAAGCAAAUAAUGAAAACAAGCCAAGCAUUUUCCAAAUUGAAAGCAUAAAGAAAAAUUAUUAAUAUUUGAGUAAACACAGAAAAAAUACAAAUGAUGAACAAAUGUAACUUUUGUAGACGUAAUCGAGAAGCUAUUCUAAGGUAUAUAACAAAGAAAAGAUGUGUUAUAGAUGAUAUAUAUCUUAUAGCUUUUAAAAAUUAAAUCUAAAAAUUAAAUUUUGUAUUAUGAAAUCUUAAUAAUUAUUAAACAAAUUCUGUAUAAAAAUCUGUAAAUUCAAAAGAAAAAUAUAAAUUUUAAAAAUGUUUGCCCCGAUGUGUAUUAGAGCAGACAAACUAGGCUAACAACUUUAGAAACUUUGCUAUCAUUAAUUAUAUAGUAAGUGAAGUAACGCCACAACAACAUAUAUAUAUUUUUUGACUUUGCUCAUGUCUUGCAAAGAGAUGGUAUGAGAGUAGACUUUGUAAAUUAAUAGACUAACUAAUCAAUAAGCUCGCCCUCGUCGUGCAGCUUGAUUGAUUUGGACUGAGCUUGGAACAUACGAGCUCAUAAAUGGACAACUUCUUUUGUCAGUGUAUUCACCUCUCCAAUGAUGUAAGCUACUACCUUGUUCGUUUGCGUCUCUUUGUCUUCAGCAAAAACCAUAAAGACUUUCUUCUCCUCGUCAACAAAGAAUCGAUCAUAAGUAAGAAGUGUUUUUU